rnacentral:rRNA from 1 species
UACGUAGGUGGCAAGCGUUGUCCGGAUUUACUGGGUGUAAAGGGUGCGCAGGCGGGACUGCAAGUUGGAUGUGAAAAUCCGAGGCUCAACCUCGGAACUGCAUCCAAAACUGUGGUUCUUGAGUGGAGCAGAGGUAAGCGGAAUUCCGAGUGUAGCGGUGAAAUGCGUAGAUAUUCGGAGGAACACCAGUGGCGAAGGCGGCUUACUGGGCUCUAACUGACGCUGAGGCACGAAAGUGUGGGUAGCAAACAGG